rnacentral:tRNA from 1 species
GGAGGGUUGGCCGAGCGGUCCAAGGCGACGGGUUGCUACCCCGAGCAGGUAACACUGCCGCCGGUUCGAAUCCGGCACUCUCCGCCA